AUUAUUGUUUCAGAUAGACACAUAGUUUGAUGUUGAUACACAAGUAAUGCCCAUGUGCUGUUUAAUGAUUAUGCUGGACGUAACUUUCAUGUUUUCUUUUGUGUAUUAUUUAUUAUUGUUUCAUAUAGACACAUAGUUUAAUGUUGGUACACAAGUAAUGCCCAUGCUAUGUCGUUUAAUGAUUAUGCUGGACAUA